rnacentral:tRNA from 1 species
GCCCAGAUGGCGAAAUUGGUAGACGCACAGGACUUAAAAUCCUGUAUCCGCGAGGAUGUACGGGUCCGAUUCCCGUUCUGGGCA